AACGCGAAGAACCUUACCAAGGUUUGACAUGCAGGGAAAAGCCGUAGAGAUACGGUGUCCGUAAGGGUCCUGCACAGGUGGUGCAUGGCUGUCGUCAGCUCGUGUCGUGAGAUGUUGGGUUAAGUCCCGCAACGAGCGCAACCCUCGUCCUAUGUUGCCAGCGGAUAAUGCCGGGGACUCAUAGGAGACUGCCGGGGUCAACUCGGAGGAAGGUGGGGAUGACGUCAAGUCCUCAUGCCCCUUAUGUCUUGGGCUGCAAACAUGCUACAAUGGCCAGUACAAAGGGUUGCGAGACCGCAAGGUGGAGCGAAUCCCAAAAAAGCUGGUCUCAGUUCGGAUUGGGGUCUGCAACUCGACCCCAUGAAGUCGGAGUCGCUAGUAAUCGCAGAUCAGCAACGCUGCGGUGAAUACGUUCCCGGGCCUUGUA
rnacentral:rRNA from 1 species